AAUAGGGUUCGCGGGCGAAGACAUGAUAAGGUUUAUUAUCAAUAUUUUUAUCAUAUUUAGUUCUGUGAUAUUAUCAUACCUACAUUGAGAUAGAUAAUAUAUUAUUAUGUAUCUAAAAACUUGCCGCGUCUACCGACGGUAACGGACCACUCUUAAAUUUAAUAGUAAAUUACGUGUUCUUUGAUCCGAAGAAUUGAUGGAAAAAGUUAUAAUUUUUAUAAGUUUUCUAUAAAAAAAAACUGCAUUCACGUUAAGAAUAUACGUGCGCGAAGUCUGAGCCGCCGACUUGCGUUUUGUGAUUGGUUGACAGUCAUCGGAAACCGUCGUUUAUCGAAGAAUCACGAAAACAUCGGGUUUUUGCGCGAUUCUUAAACAGUAAGAAAAUGUACAAACAAAAAAGAUAAUAAUUCGCAAGGGAAUAUAAUUACGUGUAAUUAAAACAUAAUACAAAUAAUAUAUAAAUUAUUAUGUGUGAUAAUCGUUAGAGUAAACGUUUACGCGCGAGUGGAAUCAAACAAUUGAUAGCGUAAUAAUCGAGGUAAUAAUACAACUCACUAGUACACUAUACAGCCGCUGCAGUUCCAUGACGGCAAUGCACGAACAGGAAGGGUUUGGUCGGCCGAGUGGUAUAAUUACCGGGAAAAAAAAAAUUCAGGUUUUACAAUAUUGUUACUAGUUCAUUAAAUGUAAAAACUAACAAAGUUACAUAAAAUCGGGCGAGACAACAACACAUGUUGGAAACCAUAUUCAAACAUCUUAAGCCUUACAAUGAUAGAAGCAUGUGUGAUUAUAUUGAUAUUUUGGAAGAUUUUCCACGUGAUAGCUUGGAUACUAGAUUGAAUGAAGUUAAUAUGUGAGCAGGAAAGGGCUUUAAGAUUUAUAAAUCGCUUUUAAAGAAAGUUGAUAAAGCUGAAGACAAUUUCAUGGUCCAAGCGUUUGUCAUUAAAGAUAUAAUAGAUAUACUUUUAUUUAGGAUGCAAAAUGUAUUUGACUGACCGCCAACUAGCAAACAAUUAUAAAAGGAGGUCACAGACUCAUAGCCAUAAAGUUUACCUACAAUUUUAGAAACUGACAAAUUAUAAACCAUUAACCAAUGCCAAAGAAUAUGUUUCAAUUAAUGUAUGUGAAAAAAAUAUUUUUAGCUUUAUGUAAAUUCAUCUCCAGAUGAUAAAACAGGUAGGUAGGUAAUAAAAAUCAUAAUUCUAUACUUGAGAAUUUACUGGCCAACGAUAAUUGGAUAAAUAAUGUUUCAGUAAUUAAUAUAUUUACCUAUGAAUAAUUAUGAUAUUAACGAAGAUAAAAUUCUGCUAAAUUCAAUAAAAUGAUAUAAUAUUACAGGUUAUACGACAAUAUAAGACAUAAUUUAAUUUAAAAUUUGUGUUCAAUAAUUUUGAAAGUGUAAAUAUAUGAUGAAGAUUGUAACUAUGAUGUGCAAAAAAAACAAAAACUUUCAAUUCAACCGAACAUAGCAUUAUGCAAUAAACAUGAGUUUGAAAAUGCUUAUAAAAUACUUCCAAUACCAAAUGAAGAUGCAUUGAAUACUUUAAAAGACAUUUUAUGUAAUGAUGCCUUAUAUGAACAAACUGUAACCAAUAUUAUAUUCUCAUGACAAGUUGUAAACCAAUUGGAUUCGUAGAUUCAACAGAACGAGUAUGCAGACCCAAUAGAAGUUUUACUAAAUAAAACAAUCACCAAGAUGUUGGAAUAAUAGAAUCAGGCAAUUUCUAUUUGAGUUGAAAAUAGAACAAACUAUUUUUGUUGAUGAUGGUUUGAUUGUCAAGCAACAAAAUAAAAAUAAAUAUAUUAUUACAAGGUCUUGAACAAUAGUUUGAAAUAACACAAGGUAAUCUAGAUUAUUUUCUAGGUAUUGAAAGAACUAGAUGUUUUGACGGAUCAUUAUGUAUACAUUAAACAAAUUUUACUAAUACACUAGUUAGCAAAUUAAAUUUAUUAAAUAGAAAGGAAUAUUUCAGGUUAUCUGUUCAUGCUAGGGCUGUCAUGGCUAGCGCAGAGGCAAUCCAUAGUAACGUUCAGUUCAACUGAAGCAGAAUAUAUUUCGGCAUACGAAACAGUCAAAGUUUUGGUUAGUUUUGGAAAUUACAUUAAUUCUUUAUUGUAUAGAAUAUUAAUUACGGGGCUGUGUUGAAUAUUGUAUAAAAAGUAACAUCAUACUGUUCAAUGAUAACAACAUAGUUGUACGAAUCACGAAAUAAAUGUUUCAAUUACAAGGCCAAUAGAUCACUUGUAUAUAUAGCCGUAUUUUAGCAUACCUACUGUAGGCACUAAAUUAUGAUAUUACUUAUGUGUACAUCAUGCAUUAGUUAUUAUGUUACUUAUUACUAAAAGCAGUGUAGUCAUUUUUGUCUAGAUUGAUCUACAAAUAUAGUUCUAAACUCAACUUAACUGUUGACUAAUAGCUAUACUGACCGGCCAUAAGGACAAUCAAAAUGCAUUUAGCGAGGCAUUUAGUAAAAUAGUAAUUAUGUUCUCUACUUCUUAAUAAGUUAUUGGCCAGUUGGCAGGUAUUGAAAUUAUUUAUUUUAUUUAAGAAAUUAAUUUUAGAAGCAGUACCUACGUACAUUCUUCUUCUUUUAAUUUAGUAAAUGUUUUUUUAUUUAUAUUAAUUUACAUUUUUUUUAAACUAAAUAAUUUAUUAACAUGAAGCAAUGUUAAUCUGUACAUAUACUAGUUAUUGUAAUUAAGUUUUUUUAAUGUAUUUUUUUUACUAAAAAUUUUCAGAAGCAGUACCUACAUUCUUCUUUUAACACCACAAGAAUCAAAGAUAUGGAAAUUGUUGCUAUUAUUUGGCUCACAAAAGCAAGUGAAAAACUAAAAACAACAACACCAGCUGAUUCCUAAGUUUAGUAAAUGUUUUUUUUAUUCAUAUGAAUUUACUUUUUUUUAAACUAAAUAAUUAAUUAACAUGAAGCAAUGUUAAUCUGUACAUAUACUAGAUAUUGUAAUUAAGUUUUUUUAUGUAUUUUUUUUACUAAAAAUUAAGUUUAUAGUGGGUUAUAGUUUUUUUUUUAGAAAUUAUUACCUGUUAUACAAAUACAUUUUAAAUCACAUAAUUGAAAUGCGAGGUGUGCAAGUAUUUAGUUAAAAAAAUAUACUUAUUUUAUAUCUGUUAUAUAAAUUAAAUAAGUAAUAUACAUUUAUAUUGUUACUUAACUUAUAUUUAAAAUGUUAAUCUGGACUAGUUAUUGUCAUAACAUUCGUUUUUUCAAUGUAUUUUAUUUGUUAAAAAUUAAAAUUAUAUAUUUUUUUUUAUUAAUGAUUAUCUGCAUAUACCUAAAUAAAUUUUAAAUCACAUAAUUUAAAUGCAAGGUGUGUACAUUUUAAGUUAAACGAUACCUAUAUUAUAUUUAAAACACUGAACUAUAGUUAGUCACA